GCCCUUAGAGUUUGAUCCUGGCUCAGGAUGAACGCUGGCGGCGUGCUUAACACAUGCAAGUCGAACGAAGCAUUUAAGACAGAUUACUUCGGUUUGAAGUCUUUUAUGACUGAGUGGCGGACGGGUGAGUAACGCGUGGGUAACCUGCCUCAUACAGGGGGAUAGCAGCUGGAAACGGCUGGUAAUACCGCAUAAGCGCACAGUACCACAUGGUACAGUGUGAAAAACUCCGGUGGUAUGAGAUGGACCCGCGUCUGAUUAGCUUGUUGGCGGGGUAACGGCCCACCAAGGCGACGAUCAGUAGCCGACCUGAGAGGGUGACCGGCCACAUUGGGACUGAGACACGGCCCAGACUCCUACGGGAGGCAGCAGUGGGGAAUAUUGCACAAUGGAGGAAACUCUGAUGCAGCGACGCCGCGUGAGUGAAGAAGUAGUUCGCUAUGUAAAGCUCUAUCAGCAGGGAAGAUAGUGACGGUACCUGACUAAGAAGCUCCGGCUAAAUACGUGCCAGCAGCCGCGGUAAUACGUAUGGAGCAAGCGUUAUCCGGAUUUACUGGGUGUAAAGGGAGUGUAGGUGGCCAGGCAAGUCAGAAGUGAAAGCCCGGGGCUCAACCCCGGGACUGCUUUUGAAACUGCAGGGCUAGAGUGCAGGAGGGGCAAGUGGAAUUCCUAGUGUAGCGGUGAAAUGCGUAGAUAUUAGGAGGAACACCAGUGGCGAAGGCGGCUUGCUGGACUGUAACUGACACUGAGGCUCGAAAGCGUGGGGAGCAAACAGGAUUAGAUACCCUGGUAGUCCACGCUGUAAACGAUGAAUACUAGGUGUCGGGGCACAUAAGUGCUCCGGUGCCGCAGCAAACGCAAUAAGUAUUCCACCUGGGGAGUACGUUCGCAAGAAUG
rnacentral:rRNA from 1 species